GACGAAUGCUGGCGGCGUGCUUAACACAUGCAAGUCGAACGGAAAGGCCCUGCUUGCAGGGUACUCGAGUGGCGAACGGGUGAGUAACACGUGGGUGAUCUGCCCUGCACUUCGGGAUAAGCCUGGGAAACUGGGUCUAAUACCGGAUAGGAGCCAUUUUUAGUGCGAUGGUUGGAGAGUUUUUUCGGUGUGGGAUGAGCUCGCGGCCUAUCAGCUUGGUGGUGGGGUAAUGGCCUACCAAGGCGGCGACGGGUAGCCGGCCUGAGAGGGUGGACGGCCACAUUGGGACGGAGAUGCGGCCCAGACUCCUACGGGAGGCAGCAGUGGGGAAUGUUGCACAAUGGGCGGAAGCAUGAUGCAGCGACGCCGCGUGGGGGAUGACGGCCAUCGGGUUGUAAACUCCUUUCGCUAGGGACGAAGCUUUUGUGACGGUACCUAGAUAAGAAGCACCGGCUAACUACGUG
rnacentral:rRNA from 1 species